rnacentral:lncRNA from 1 species
UGAGGAUAUUUUCAGUUGUUGCAGUCCUUGAGGUAGGAAAGGAGACUUUCUUUCCUGAUGGGUAUUUUUAAUUGCCUUCACUAUAUUACUCUUUUAACUGCUGAAAACCCAGAGAAUCCUAAAUUAAAAACUUUUACAUGAUUAUACAGUAUCCCAGCAGCUGGAAGAUAUUAGUCAUCUAUAGAUGUCCUGCUCCUAAUAGCUUGAGUGAGCAAUAAAACCACACAUGCACAGUGCUCACCGUACAUCUUGAGCUGACUCUUUUCCAGGUCCUGGAGCAGUUAAGCAAGGAUUCUUGCCCUGUUUUGCUCAGUUCUUAGCCUUUUGCUUCUCCUUUGCAACUCAGGGCAGAGCUGGGAGCGCUCACUAACACGCUGUGGGGUGGUGGGACCACAGCUGUGGAGACCCUUUGCCAGCCGCCCCAUUUCCUCACGAGGAGCUCCCCAGGAGUAGAUGCGAAUCCAAAAUUGACAUGGAAGUACUGGAGUGAGACCAGAAGAGCACUUACCAGGGCUCACAGGCUGUUUGUAAAACAAACAAGGCGAUGUUGUCCUUGCUCGUAGCCACGUGUUGCCAAACAAAAGUCUGUGUUUUGCACAAACGUGAAGGAGUUUGUGGGGACCCAUCGCUGGGAACUAGAAAAUAGAGAUUUCCCUCUUGCUCCGUGGUGGUGAUCCUGAUGCUUGUGUGUCCUCUCUCUCCACCCCAGCUUGCCCUGAUGGCCUCUGGGGACUGGGCUGCCAGGAGAUCUGUCCUGAGUGUGCCAACAACGCCAGCUGCCACCCGGCCACCGGGACCUGCCUGUGUCCCCCCGGCUACACGGGCUCCCGCUGCCAGGAUGUGUGUCCCCCCGGCUGGUUUGGCCCCGAUUGCCAGCUGAGCUGCAGCUGUGGGAACGACGGGCAUUGCCAUCCUGUGACGGGGACGUGCAGCUGCCCCCCGGGCUGGACGGGCUACAACUGCCAGAGAGGUAUCGUAUUGUCAUCCUUGGGGCCUAAAAUUUGCUGAGCUGGGCAGGGCUGCGCUGUGAUUUGCUUCGCUGUCACCUUCGUGCUGGAAAAAUCUGAAAUCUGCCCCAUCCCUGCAAGUGUUUAAGGCCAGGCUGGAUGGGGCUCGGAGCAACCUGCUCUAGUGAUGUCCCUGCCCACCGUUGGAACUUGAUGAGCUUUAAGGUCCCUUCCAACUCUAACCAUUCUAUGAUUCUAUGAAAUCCUUUGGGUUUCUCCACUCUGUCCUGCCAGUGCCACUUGCUUUUCUGUGUGC